UACGGAGGGUGCAAACGUUGCUCGGAAUCAUUGGGCGUAAAGCGAACGUAGGCGGCUAUGUAAGUCGGGUGUGAAAGCCCUCGGCUCAACCGAGGAAGUGCAUUCGAAACUGCAUGGCUUGAGUGUCGGAGAGGAUAGCGGAAUUCCCGGUGUAGAGGUGAAAUUCGUAGAUAUCGGGAGGAACACCAGUGGCGAAGGCGGCUAUCUGGACGAACACUGACGCUGAAGUUCGAAAGCGUGGGGAGCAAACAGG
rnacentral:rRNA from 1 species